AAUGUCCCCAAUGGACAAGGGAUAAGCGGCCAGGUUUCUUCUGUACCAAGCUCACAGCAGAAAAUAAUCAACUCACCUUGGGAGCACUGUGGUCCAGCUGCUUCCUGGAAAGAAGCAGCUCCUCUGCACCAAGAUGCCUCCUCUGCCACCAACAGGACUGGUCAUACCUGUCCUGCUGCGCACACAGU